UACGAAGGGAGCUAGCGUUGUUCGGAAUCACUGGGCGUAAAGCGCGCGCAGGCGGCCUUUUAAGUCUGACGGUGAAAUGCCGGGGCUCAACCCCGUGCCCGCCGGAGAUACUGGGAGGCUGGAGACGAGUAGAGGCAAGCGGAAUUCCGGGUGUAGCGGUGGAAUGCGUAGAGAUCCGGAAGAACACCGGAGGCGAAGGCGGCUUGCUGGGCUCUGUCUGACGCUGAGGCGCGAAAGCGUGGGGAGCGAACAGG
rnacentral:rRNA from 1 species